ACUUCCUCACCCUUUUCCCAUCCCAGGGGUCUGAGACUCUUCCGUCACUCACAGGAGGAUGACAUCGUGCCAGAACUAACCAGGAGCAUCCACCCUCGAGAGAGGCCGGACUGGGAGGAGACCAUCAGCGCCAUGGCGCGGAGCGCCGAGAUCCCGGAGCUGAGCACGGAACCGCUCCUGAGGGCCUGCAGCAGCACUGCCAGCAUGAAGGUCAAGAACGUCAAGAAGCUGUCUUUCACGAAGGGCCACUUUCCCAAGCUAGCAGAAUGCGCCCACUUCCACUACGAGAACGUCGACUUCGGGACGAUACAGGUAAGGCUGG